rnacentral:rRNA from 1 species
GCGGUAAUUCAAGCUCCAAUAGCGUAUAUGUAAAUUGUUGCGGUUGAAAAGCUCGUAGUUGGACUUCUGGCGACUGCGUUCGGUCCGCCAAGCGCGUGCACUGUCCGCGGUCGUCGUCUCUGUCGACGUGGCGCGUCGGCCUUAGUUGGUCGGUGCGUCGUCUGUCGGCGAUGUUACUUUGAGGAAAUCAGAGUGCUCAAGGCAAGCGUUCGCUCGUGACUUCACUAGCAUGGAAUAACACAGAUGGGCUCUUUCUCGCACUGUUGGUCUGCGUCAAUUGAGCAACGAUCGAUAGAGACGGUCGGGGGCAUUCGUAUUGCGCAGUUAGAGGUGAAAUUCUCCGAUCUGCGCAAGACGUACUAAUGCGAAAGCAGUUGCCAAGGACGUCCUCUUAUGAUCAAGAGCGAAAGUCGGGGGAUCAAAGAUGAUUAGAUACCGUCGUAGUCCCGACCAUAAAUGAUGCCGACUGAGCUUCGGCGACUCGACCUCUGGUCGUACGUCGGCGCUCUUAGAGAAAUUAAAGUCUUUGGGCUCCGGGGGUAGUAUGGUCGCAAGUCUGAAACUUGAAGGAAUUGACGGAAGGGCACCACAAGGCGUGGAUGUUGCGGCUUAAUUUGACUCAACACGGGAAAGCUUACUAGGUUUGGACACCUUUGUGAUGGACAGAUUGAAGCUCUUACCCUACUGCGUGGAUGGUGGUGCAUGGUCGUUCUCAGCCCGUGGGUUGACCUGUCAGGUUUACUCCGGUAACGCGCGAGACCUCGGUCUGCUAAAUAGACGCGGCUGUUUCGGCACCCGCGCUCUUCUUAGAGAGAGACUCGACGAGAGUCGAGGGAAGUCGAGGCAAUAACAGAUCUGUGAUGCCCUUAGUUAUCCUAGGUCGCACGCGCCAUACAAUGUGGCGCACAACGAGUCUCCUUGGCCGACAGGAUCUGGGCAAUCUGGCAGAGCGCUACGUGACUGGGCUAGACUUUUGUAAUUUUUGGUCUUGAACGAGGAAUGCCUAGUAAUCGCAGGUCAGCAUCCUGCGAUGAUUCGGUCCCUGCCCUUUGUACACACCGCCCGUCGCUCCAUCCGUGGCAUGCGCCGGUGAAGAGGGGGAGGCAGCGUCGGCCGGGUAACACCGGAUCGUACGUGGAACCCCUCUGAACCUUCGCACGUAGAGGAAGGAGAAGUCGUAACAAGGUUUUCGUAGGUGAACCUGCGAAAGGAUCAUUAUCGGCACA